CAUAUCAAUAAGCGGAGGAAAAGAAACUAACAAGGAUUCCCCUAGUAACUGCGAGUGAAGCGGGAAAAGCUCAAAUUUAAAAUCUGACAGUCUUUUGGCUGUCCGAGUUGUAAUCUAGAGAAGUGUUAUCCGCGCUGGACCGUGUACAAGUCUCCUGGAAUGGAGUGUCGUAGAGGGUGAGAAUCCCGUCUUUGACACGGACUGCCAGGGCUUUGUGAUGCGCUCUCAAAGAGUCGAGUUGUUUGGGAAUGCAGCUCAAAAUGGGUGGUAAAUUCCAUCUAAAGCUAAAUAUUGGCGAGAGACCGAUAGCGAACAAGUACCGUGAGGGAAAGAUGAAAAGCACUUUGGAAAGAGAGUUAAACAGUACGUGAAAUUGCUGAAAGGGAAACGCUUGAAGUCAGUCACGUUGUCCAGGGAUCCAACCUUGCUUUUGCUUGGUCUACUUUCUGGUUGACGGGUCAGCAUCAAUUUUGACUAUUGGAAAAAGAUUAGGGGAAUGUGGCAUCUCUGGAUGUGUUAUAGCCCUUGGUUGUAUACAAUGGUUGGGAUUGAGGAACUCAGCACGCCGAAAGGCCGGGUUUUUAACCACGUUCGUGCUUAGGAUGCUGGCAUAAUGGCUUUAAUCGACCCGUCUUGAAACACGGACCAAGGAGUCUAACAUGCCUGCGAGUGUUUGGGUGGAAAACCCGAGCGCAUAAUGAAAGUGAAAGUUGAGAUCCCUGUCGUGGGGAGCAUCGACGCCCGGACCAGACCUUUUGUGACGGUUCCGCGGUAGAGCAUGUAUGUUGGGACCCGAAAGAUGGUGAACUAUGCCUGAAUAGGGUGAAGCCAGAGGAAACUCUGGUGGAGGCUCGUAGCGAUUCUGACGUGCAAAUCGAUCGUCAAAUUUGGGUAUAGGGGCGAAAGACUAAUCGAACCAUCUAGUAGCUGG
rnacentral:rRNA from 1 species